AGAUUGAAUGGUAUGAAGCAAUUAGAAGGCUAAGGUCUACAUAAAUGAUUGAGUAACUGAGAGGUAUGGAUCUGAGAUGUUGAAUUGGAGAAUGCAAUGUAAAAAAUCUAAAAGAAGACUAAUUUAUGCAAAUCUUGAAACAGCACAUGGUAACUUUCACAGGCCUGGGGACAAGGACCUGUGCAUUUUUGUGGGUACUGGGAUAGAAGAAGAAGCCUAAUUCAGCCUGCCACACAAGCAAUCAGUCUGCCUAUUAUGUACAGAAAUACAAGAAGAAAAGGAAAUAUUUGGAAGUCUGCAUAUGAUCUAAGGAAACUUUGUACUGUGCUGGAACAUUAUGGUCAUGGUAGUGACAGUGACAACUCUCCUCUGGUCAUUCUCACAAUUCUUGUUUCUAUUUAUGUUCUCGUUCAAGAGGAAUUGAGUACUGGACCAGUGGAAAUUCAUUUGCAUAAGAACAACCUAAAUCCUCAAGAAGAAAGUGAUGAGGAGAGAUUUUGGCCUGUCAGUUAA
rnacentral:lncRNA from 12 species